AUUUUUUACGUGUGUUAAAUUAAAUCUAACCGUGUCACUUCGUUUUUUCUACUAUUGUUGGGUUGCAUAGGGUUGCUGGUGAAGAUAUAGACUGAGUUUUAUAGAUGACACGCACCAGUUUUCCUAUUUCGAACUGGCAAUUUCAGAUAGAAUUUCCUCCACUCAUUUUUGGACAAUUUUUGAUUACAUAUAGAUCUCACGACGUGCUUUACUUUGAUAAGACUAUAUAGGCUAUAGCUGAAGUUUAAACGAUUACUUUUUUGUGCGAUGAUGGAGAUAAUUUUCCAUACAUAUGGAAAGAAGAAACAUAUGAUAGUGGGUGAAAAAAACACCCUCAUAUAUAAUGCUUCAUGAAUAUGCAAAACCAUGCCAACAGUCUACAGACUCCAGAUGGAAAGAGAUGGAGAAAGAAUUUCUAAAGGGGUAUUCAAGGACCCAUCCUCCUCCACACUAAUUCAUAUUGGAAGGAAUUGACAUCCAACUUGAAUAAAGAAUUACAGACUUCCAGAACAGGUGCAUCAUGCAGAUCCUUUUAAAAAGGAGAGGCCAGAUCUUCAGAUGACUUUAUUGAAAAUGAAAAAUUUCUGAGUGGAAGUGACGAAUGUGGCAUGCAUACAAGCAGACAUCAGCAUUCCCUCCCUCUUGUUAGUGUAAGUAAAACCUGCAUGAAUAUAAAACUUUAGAAGAAAAGGGAAAUAUAUUGACAUUCAAAAUUCACAGCUGGUUGUUCAUCUUCUACAAAAAUUACAGACUUGUUUCAUUAUUUAUCUAUGAUAAAAUUAUGACAUAAUUAAUAUUUAUGAUGUAUGUGUAUUGUGUAUUUACUACUAUUCCUGAUACAAAUCUUUACUGAUUAUACUGAUGUUUGUGACAUUGUUUAUAAUUUUUAGAUCAGAGGUGAGCUUUUUGAGAAAGACUCAUGCGAAAUAUAUAACACAGACAUGUUUCAGUUACUUGGGGAUAACACUUAUGAGGAAUUUUGCUAACUUUCAGAUUGGAAUGUGUUGCACAAGAAAUGCUUGAUCACAACCCUCUUCUGUUAAAAACCUUUUCCAUGCAAAUAGUGUAAAUGAAACUUAGCUAUUUCAUUAGUAAACAUGUUUUCUGCGCAAGUGUGUGACUUUGACAUUAAAUGCUAUGAUAUUGUCGUAUUCUUAAACAAUGGAAGAUCUCUACUAGUUCUUUCAAAGGAAAGCCAACAACAGGAAUCGAACCUGUUCCUCCAUCGUACAGAUACGAAAGUGUGCACCAUUACACCAUGUUGGCAUACAUUAAGAACUGGUAGCCUUGGAGAGUAAAUAUUACAUUAUUCUGUACAGUUGAUACUGGUUUGUGUGAUAUAUGUAUAAAUAUAUAUAUAUAUACAAGUAUAUAUAAUGUAUGCCUCAUGUUUGGUAGUCGUCAAUAAAGCAUUUGAAUUGAA